rnacentral:rRNA from 1 species
UACGGAGGAUCCAAGCGUUAUCCGGAUUUAUUGGGUUUAAAGGGUGCGUAGGCGGUUUUAUAAGUUAGAGGUGAAAAUUCGGGGCUCAACUCCGGACGUGCCUCUAAUACUGUAUGACUAGAGAUUAGAUGCGGUAGGCGGAAUGUAUGGUGUAGCGGUGAAAUGCGUAGAGAUCAUACAGAACACCGAUUGCGAAGGCAGCUUACCAAACUACAUCUGACGUUGAGGCACGAAAGCGUGGGGAGCAAACAGG